GGCGGCGCGGGUCUCGGCGAUGAUGUCGGCGAAGACGGCGCCGAGGUCCGGCGUCUCGUCGGACAGCAGCUGUUCCAUCAGCGUGUCGUCG
rnacentral:tRNA from 1 species